CCUACGGGUGGCUGCAGUGAGGAAUAUUGGUCAAUGGGCGGGAGCCUGAACCAGCCAAGCCGCGUGAGGGAAGAAGGUACAGCGUAUCGUAAACCUCUUUUGUCGGGGAACAAAGGCGCCCACGGGUGGGCGGAUGAGUGUACCCGAAGAAAAAGCAUCGGCUAACUCCGUGCCAGCAGCCGCGGUAAUACGGAGGAUGCGAGCGUUAUCCGGAUUUAUUGGGUUUAAAGGGUGCGUAGGCGGACAGUCAAGUCAGCGGUAAAAAUGCGGUGCUCAACGCCGUACAGCCGUUGAAACUGGCAGUCUUGAGUGGGCGAGAAGUAUGCGGAAUGCGUGGUGUAGCGGUGAAAUGCAUAGAUAUCACGCAGAACUCCGAUUGCGAAGGCAGCAUACCGGCGCCCUACUGACGCUGAGGCACGAAAGCGUGGGUAUCGAACAGGAUUAGAUACCCUUGUAGUC
rnacentral:rRNA from 1 species